GAGAAAGUGUUUAAGUAUUUGAGAGAGGAUAUGAAACUUGUUGGAAGGGAAUGCUACUUAUAUUAUUGAGUGUUUGUAAUUUUUGGCUUGGUUUACAAAUGACUACCUCUCCCCUAUUUAUAGUCUUCAAGGGAGAGUUCUACAUACUCCUAGAGACUCUUCUACAUACUUCUAAGAGAGAGUUCUACAAACUUCUUUAUACUUCUACAUACAUUUUCUACUAUGACUUCUACUUAUUUCUACAUAUCUCUAGAACAUUCUUU
rnacentral:lncRNA from 1 species